AAGAGCUCAAAUUUGAAAUCUGGCCUCCUCCGGGGCCCGAGUUGUAAUUUGCAGAGGAUGUUUCGGGUUCGGCUGCGGUCUAAGUUCCUUGGAACAGGACGUCCUGGAGGGUGAGAAUCCCGUGUGGGACCGCCGGCCACGCCCAUGUGAAACGCCUUCGACGAGUCGAGUUGUUUGGGAAUGCAGCUCCAAAUGGGUGGUAAAUUUCAUCUAAAGCUAAAUACCGGCCAGAGACCGAUAGCGCACAAGUAGAGUGAUCGAAAGAUGAAAAGCACUUUGGAAAGAGAGUUAAACAGCAUGUGAAAUUGUUGAAAGGGAAGCGCUGGCCACCAGACUUGGCUCCGGGUGCUCAACCGGCGUUCUUCGCCGGCGCACUCGCCCGGAGACAGGCCAGCAUCGGUUCAGGCGGCGGACAAAGGCCCCCGGAAUGUAGCUCCCCACGGGGAGUGUUAUAGCCGGGGGUGCAAUGCGGUCCGCCGGACCGAGGAUCGCGCUUCGGCUCGGAUGCUGGCGUAAUGGUGGUCAGCGGCCCGUCUUGAAACACGGACCAAGGAGUCUAACAUCUACGCGAGUGUUUGGGUGUCAAACCCAUGCGCGGAAUGAAAGUGAACGGAGGUGGGAGCCCCCCGGGGCGCACCAUCGACCGAUCCUGAUGUCUUCGGAUGGAUUUGAGUAAGAGCGUAGCUGUUAGGACCCGAAAGAUGGUGAACUAUGCCUGAAUAGGGUGAAGCCAGAGGAAACUCUGGUGGAGGCUCGCAGCGGUUCUGACGUGCAAAUCGAUCGUCAAAUUUGGGUAUAGGUAAGCAUCUCAUUUCUUUUUGUCAUUUUACCUGCCUAGAGUGAACAUCAUAAUCAUUGUUAUAAUCGACCCGGGGCACAACAGUUAAGGGUAAUAUGAUUGUGUAUUAAAAAUAUCUACUGAGGCCCCUGCAUAAUCUCCGCCUGGUAACAGGACUUGGGGCACAGGCAGGGCCCCGGAAGUCCGGGGGCAUUCCGGCAGGGGAGAAAGCACCCGGGGGCAUCUGUCCAGAUGCACUUUGGCUGCUCCUGCCCCUGGUUGAUAGCCUCCCGGCAACGGAUCCAGCGGUCUUGCCAUAUCAAUGAUUAUGAUGUUUACUCUACGGGUGCCUUCUUCAGUUCAUAACUUGAAUUCCAUGCUAACAUGUCUUUUCUGCAGGGGCGAAAGACUAAUCGAACCAUUGGACGCCGGGGCCGACAGGCCUCCGGCGGGGGUACUCAGCUACUCAGGUGGUUAAGAGACACCGGGGCCACGCGCCGGUGCUAGUUCUCUGCGAGAGCAACACUGUCAAACUGGCGGGGACGCCUCGACGCCGAGGCAAUCCGCAGCCAAACCCUCCGAUCCGGCAGCGCCGCCGGGGGGUGCGGUCCACAGACUAAAGGACAGUGGGUGACCGAGCCCCCGGAACUCCGGGGGCCGGACGCUUAAGAUAUAGCCGGGCCAGCCCGGUGACGGGCUGGGAUCCGGGGAGUUUGCUCCUCGGAGGACCGCUAGUAGCUGGUUCCUGUCGAAGUUUCCCUCAGGAUAGCAGUAACGUUUUCAGUUUUAUGAGGUAAAGCGAAUGAUUAGAGGCCUUGGGGUUGAAACAACCUUAACCUAUUCUCAAACUUUAAAUAUGUAAGAAGUCCUUGUUGCUUCGUUGAACGUGGACAUUUGAAUGCACCGUUACUAGUGGGCCAUUUUUGGUAAGCAGAACUGGCGAUGCGGGAUGAACCGAACGUGAGGUUACGGUGCCGGAAUGCACGCUCAUCAGACACCACAAAAGGUGUUAGUUCAUCUAGACAGCCGGACGGUGGCCAUGGAAGUCGGAACCCGCUAAGGAUCGUGUAACAACUCACCGGCCGAAUGAACUAGCCCUGAAAAUGGAUGGCGCUCAAGCGUGCUACCUAUACCUCGCCGUCGGGGUAGACACGAUGCCCCGACGAGUAGGCAGGCGUGGGGGUCCGUGACGAA
rnacentral:rRNA from 1 species